rnacentral:rRNA from 1 species
AACGAACGCUGGCGGCAGGCUUAACACAUGCAAGUCGAGCGCUGUAGCAAUACAGAGCGGCGCACGGGUGAGUAACACGUGGGAACAUGCCUUUCGGUUCGGAAUAACUCAGGGAAACUUGAGCUAAUACCGGAUACGUCCGAGAGGAGAAAGAUUUAUCGCCGAGGGAUCGGCCCGCGUCUGAUUAGCUUGUUGGUGAGGUAACGGCUCACCAAGGCGACGAUCAGUAGCUGGUCUGAGAGGAUGAUCAGCCACAUUGGGACUGAGACACGGCCCAAACU